rnacentral:lncRNA from 1 species
UGGAAGUGAUGAAGGGAGAGAGGCCAAUUAGGCCAUGAUUGCUCUGAGGAUGGGAAGUACGUGAAUGUGGAAUCUUGGGGCAAUAGAACGGACAGAACGUAGUGUAGCAAAGCUUCUCUCCAUAACGUUCCUCUGGCCAAGUGAGAAACAUGAAGAUUAGAAGUGCAGCACAUGCCUUCUGAAGAAGCCAGGCAUGGAACAGUUCUGGGAACACAGCACUGAUAAAACUCUUAGGGAUGAAUUUACCUAUACCUGUGUUUCAGCCUUGUGAUCUGGGUUUGGCACGAUGAAAUGCUACUUUCAGAAAGAUGAGUAUGUCAGAAUCCCUGGUGAUUUCUAACGCUUAUGGAACACAUCACAUAGGAGCAAUUUAGAUGACAAAAAAGAGCACUCUUCAGUCUGGAUUUACACUGUGUUCCUAUUCACCGACACAUCAGCAAACAUUAUAAAUGCCUUGCCUGAGUAAUGAAUGGUUUCUGAGUGAGUUCCUGGGCUGGCAGCAGGUUUGAAAUUCUAUAGAGUCAGGCAAGGGAGAAGGUGACUAGUGUAGAAUUACGGGAAAGGAUUAAUGAAGGGGUGCUGACUACACAUACUGCUCCACUGUUCUCUCAGUCACUAGACUGAGAAGUCACUGAUUUUUGCCUCUAGGACUGGACUUUUAUAACUUCAAAAAAGCCUCUUUAAACAAAUCUGCAUCAGCCAAUGUGUCAACACUUCAUUGGUUUCAAUAGAAUUAGUUUUCUAAAUGCUCUUUUCUGAAGCAAUUUUUGUACUUGAAAAUGCAUUAUAAGGAACAUUUACUAUAACUACAGUACAACGAUAUAGAAUAUGACAAGUAGGGUUUUAAUCGCUGCAAGCUGCAACACUGAACACGGUCUACAUUGAUCCUCCCCCUUCUCCUUCAGCAUCAAUGUUAAUAAACCGA